UGUCUGUUGCCAUAUUUUAACCCAAGUUAAAUUGAGUAGCACGUUACUACAAGUCUCUAUUUUAAGACAUCUCUAUUAAAAAGAAGGACUCCAGGCUACACCUAUAUCCAAUACAAAGUUAAAGCUCAAAUCCCUUUGAUGCUUACAAAACCUUCCUAAGGCAGUUAAACAACAACAACAAAAACUUUGAAUAAUGAAGCAUAGUACUUAAAGAAUAAAAGUUGAAUAAAUAAAACUACAUAUUAAAAAUAUUUUAAAAUGCUUUUGUCGGUUAAAAUUUUCAUUUUAUCAGACAAUGAUAGUGUCAUGCAUAAUAUUAGAAAAACCUACUCUGAAAGGAAUAAGAAAAUACAUGCCAAAUAAUUAUGCAGGAUUUGGAGUAUAUUUUAGUCAUUUACUAAACAUCAGCAUAGGUAAAUAACUGGUAUUCACAGUGCCUCUUGGGAGAACUCUCACUGUAGAAGCUUAUUAGUGUUAAGCAUCUGAGAGCUAUGGACUAUAAAAUACAAUCAAUACCGUAACCUUAACUGUAAAAGCCAGAAAGAUACUGGAAGAGUUCUAAUUUAACAAGAUUACAGAUGAGUUUUUAGAGAACAGUGGGGGGAAAAGCCACUCAUUUAGAAACACUUAUGCUAUGAGAUGCUGCAAUGUUUCUGUUGUUACUGAUGCUAUUGUUUUCCAUGCUGCUAUCAGUUAGAGUUGACUCAACUAUGAUGCAUUACUUUAGUAGGUUUACAGGAAAAUCCUAAAAAUGAACUGGAACUUGUUUCAAAUAAAAAUAAUUGCUGUGAGGUAGUACACUAAUUGACUGGGAACAAUUAUGAUCUGAUAUGGUUAAGUGAGAAGGAAAAAAAAUCAUGAAAAUUUUAAGGUUGUCAGCUUCAGAGCACAAUGCAGUUACUGCACAUUACUCUUUUUCUUUUAAAGGAAAGGUAGUCAAAACUGACAUAAAUAGUAGUGUUUAAGUUCAACUUAAAUCUGUAUUUUGGCUCCAACAAAUGUAAAUUUUAAAAAUGUAUGUCAAUGAAAUUACAAUGAUGGUAUAUUUAUUAUCCUAAUGGUUUUAGAAAUCACGUAAAAUUGAUCAGUAACAAAACCUCUAUUUAGUAAUGGACCAAUUACAUUUGUGAGAUAAUGUCAAUGAAAUAGAAUCUUGUCACAGGAUAAUGGUCUCCUAUUGCUAUGUCCCUAGUCAUUUAGAGAGAAUAAAUGCUGCCGUCUGGCUGAGUCAUUUGUUUUCAAAGUAGGAGACACUGAUCCCAUAACAAGGUUCUGUUAUAAUAACUCAAUCUCUAUCAAUCAUUUGUUGUAGCAGAAUAGUGCAGGACAGAGCAUGUAUCUGUGAGAAUUGCGCAUUCCUAAGGUAUAAAGCAAAAACAUGUGGUGCCUCCAAGCACAUAAACAGUCCAAUUAUUGAGUUAUUAAGUGCGAGUAUUUAAAAUAAACAUAUAAAAGGUAAUUUAUGAAAUGUGAAACUUUCAGAAUUUUCAGAGAUCCAUGCUAGUGAAGGCUUAAAGACUCAAGGGCAGAUUGCAAGGCAUUCUAUGAAUGUUUGGGACCAGAGUGUUUCAGAUUUUUCUUCAUAUUUUAUAUUUAUAUACACAUACUGAGAUACUUUGAGGAGGGGAUCCAUGUCUAAACACGAAAUUCAUUUAUGCUUCAUGUACACCUUAUCCACAUAGCCUGAAGGUAGUUUUCUAUAGUAUUUCGAGUGUGCAACUCAAAACAUGAGGUCAGGUAUGGAAUUUUCCACUUGCAACAUCAUGUUGGCUCUCAAAAAGUUAGAUUUUCAAGUUAGGGAUUGCUGAAGAUUGUCUAAUUCUUUGACUCUGACAGAUUUUUAAAUCUGAAAUACUUGAACACAAAGGAAGCUCAGAAUCUAGCAUUGCCUGUGUUGGUAGUGAUUAGUUUAAUAAUCUGUAGAUUGGGUUUUCUGUAGGAUUUAAAGGCAAAAAUGUAUAUGAACUUAAAUCACUACCUGAAAGAUAGUAAGUACCAAAUAAAUGGUAGCCACAAAAUUGCAGUGACAUCUUAUUUUCCUCAGUCAAAAAUCCUUGCUGAGCACAAUUAUUAUGGUUUUCAUCAACAGAUAAAUGAUACAGAAAGAAGAGUAAGGAUUACUCCUUUAGAAUAAACAGAGCUGAAAGAAUAAAUAAGAUAUGGGGACCACAUUUGAAUUCUAAUUCAAACACAACAACCUUUAAGGAAUUCUGAGGAAUUUAAGCUUGCAUUCACGAUACAUUAGGUUAUAUUAAAGAAAUAUCAUUGUAUUUGUCAGACUGAUACUGGUAUUGUGAGAAUAUAAAAAUGGUUAGAAGCUCUUGACAAUAUUUAAAAGCAAAUAACAUGAUUUUCUUUAAAAUACUUCUUUAAAAACUGGAAGUUAACAACUGCAACAAAACUAGUAAAACACUGUUAACAUGAAAGUUGGGUAGAGAUUCACUUUACAUUUAUCGCUACUUUUCCUAGCAAAAACCCUUAAAAUAUGUGUUGUGUCAUUCAUUCCAAACCAGCUCUUCUCCACAUAAGUAUUCAUACUUACCCUUUCUCAUUAGAUCAAAAAUAUUUUGUCCUACUACUAAUAUUAGGAGGUUGAUUUUAUGAACAUAGACAUACAUACAUUUUACCAUCUGAAAACUUUGUUUUGACAAUUCUUCCAGAUCCCUGAAAAUGAACAAAUUCACUUCUGUUCUCUUAUUGUAGUUCUAGAAGGUUGGCCCUGAAGGUCUCUAGAGAAACUGUUUGUCUGCAAAACUCAAGUAGUAGUGUUAAAAUUCUUCUAAUUUAUUUCUCCCCAUACAAAUACAUUUACAAAUAUAUGGAUUCUCCAGGGAGGUUGUAAGAUAACAGAAAGAGAAAAAAGUUAGCUUUUAAUAAAGAAAGCCUAAGUUCUGGAUAUCAUGAGUGGGAUACUUUUUUCUUAGUUACUAGUAAGUGGUCUUACAAAGAGGUUUCAAUUCCACAAUGGGAUACUUUAUGCAAGACAAUUUCUCAGAGCUUUGGACUUCUUCACUAUCAAAUAAGGAAAUCGAAUAAUGUUUCACUAAGGGGAUUAAUAAUCUGUAUCUAUGUCUGAAAAAUCAAUUUCUUAUCAGCGAUGUUGAUAGACGAGAUUCUUUUUAUUGAAAGAUGCUCAACAAAGAAACUCAAAAACUGUUUUUAUAAAUCAAAACAGCUCCUCUUGACAUUAAUCCACCAAAGGACAUCGAUAUGAAUUUUCCCUUAUUUUCUGGCUCAAGAUUCAGUGUUUGGGCAUUGGCUAUUUAAGCUUUCUGAUGCCAACCAGAAGUAUGUGAGGAAUUGUUGUUUGAUUCGUCCCCAAAGACAGCCACCAGCCCUCUCUCCUUCUGUGGAGAAUGCCUAGUUACUCAGUCCCCACAGACUAAGAGAACCUUGAGAUUCUGUCCUUUGUCAUGUGAAAGUUAGGGUUCUAGCACUGUUUCCCCAAAUUUAAAACCAAAUGCUCCCUGAAAGAUGAUUUUCAAAUCUUUUAAAAAGAUAAAUAGCAUCUUCUGUAUAUUCAGAGCACACAACAGUGCACUUCAUAUUCUAAGUAGUCAUUCAUGAAUG